CCUACGGGGGGCAGCAGUGGGGGAUAUUGCACAAUGGGGGGAACCCUGAUGCAGCGACGCCGCGUGGGCGAUGGAGUGCUUCGGCAUGUAAAGCCCUAUCAGCAGGGAAGAAAAUGACGGUACCUGACUAAGAAGCCCCGGCUAAAUACGUGCCAGCAGCCGCGGUAAUACGUAUGGGGCAAGCGUUAUCCGGAUUUACUGGGUGUAAAGGGAGCGUAGGCGGUAUGUCAAGUCAAGGGUGAAAUCCCCGCGCUCAACGUGGGAACUGCCUUUGAAACUGGCAAACUGGAGUGUGUGAGAGGAUG
rnacentral:rRNA from 1 species